GAAUUUCAAAACAGCUUUGCAUGAUGAUGAUGCUUCUUUGCAAGAUACUGCAACUUCUCCUCUCUCUACUUCCAAGGUUUUGUAUGGAAACCAGUUUGAGAAGCCAAAACAAAUGGAAGAUUUAAAGGAAAACUGCAGUAACAUAGAACAAAGAGAUGAGCAAAAAGAAUUAUUGGAUUUUAAUGGGAGAUAUGAUGAUGGCUGCACCUGCACUUAAUUAAUUAAAGAAGAGAGGCCUUUGCUGAAUAUUAAUUCCUUUGUGUAUGGUAGUGAAUUAUAUUACUAUAUCUAGGUUGAUUAAUUAGUUUUAUAUAUAUUAGUAUGCAUAUAUAUCA